UGUGUGUGUGUGUGUGUGUGUGUGUGUGUGUGUGUGUGUGUGUGUGUGCGCGUGCACGCGCGCGUGCCCGCGCCCACGCCUGCAC
rnacentral:pre_miRNA from 1 species